AUUGUCGUCAUCGAACCAUCCAUUUCCUCUGUACCAAAUAAAGCCUUCUCCUUUCCCUCAUAUCUCUACUAACUACUAUUUUAGAUUUCCCCCCUAUUUUUCUUCAUUUUCCUUUCCUCUCUCUCUUCAUUAUUUUUCGUCAUUCUUUCUCUCUCUCCUCCUCCAGAGCUCCAUCUUCUUUGAGAGAGAAGAAAGAAGAAAGAAGUAAGAAGAAAGAAGAAAGAAGAAAGAAGAAAGAAGGGAAAGGUAUUGACUGUGGCGCGGUUCUUCCACGAAGCAUUUUGCCGCCAUAUCUAUGGCGAUUCAUCGGCGCCGCCAUUAUCAACAUAGCAAUAAUAAUCGCCGAUUUUUUCCUGCAAUUACCGCCGUUGUUGGAGCUUUUUUCCUAUGUUUCUUCGUUCUUUCUUUUCUCGCUCCCCAUCCUUCUCGUCUACUCCAGCAUAAUCGCGGUCGCAACUCGAUUUCCGCUUCCAUUGACGAUGCUGUUGCUUCUAUUGGAGUUUCCGUCGAUUCUGUUCCGGCAAGUGGAGGAAAAUCUAAAUAUGAUAUUUGGAGGUGUAGAGAUUCUGAAUUUUUCUAUGGUUGUAGCAAUGCCACCAGUAAAUUCCUAAAAGCUGAAGUUAUCACACGUCGAAAUCGGUAUUUGAUGAUUGCAACUAGUGGAGGCUUAAAUCAACAACGGACAGGGAUAAUUGAUGCUGUUGUUGCAGCGCGUAUUUUGAAUGCAACUCUAGUUGUGCCUAAGUUGGAUCAGAGAUCUUAUUGGAAAGAUGCAAGUAAUUUUGAGGACAUCUUUGAUAUUGAUUGGUUCAUAUCCUCCCUAUCAAAUGACAUCAAUAUCUUGAAAGAACUUCCAAAUGGUCCAAAAGUCACAACCAUGCGUGUUCCAAGAAAAUGCAAUGAAAGAUGCUAUGAAAAGCGAGUUUUACCUGUUAUAUUGAAAAGGCAUGCUGUCCGGCUUACCAAGUUUGACUAUAGGCUUGCUAAUCGACUGGAAACAGAUUUUCAAAAGCUAAGAUGUAGAGUUAAUUACCAUGCAUUAAAGUUCACUAGUCCCAUACUUGACAUGGGCAAAUUGCUGGUACAAAGAAUGAGGGCCAUGGGCAAGCAUUUUAUUGCUCUCCAUCUAAGGUUUGAACCUGAUAUGCUUGCAUUCUCGGGAUGCUACUAUGGUGGAGGAGACAAAGAAAGAAAAGAAUUGGGUGCUAUAAGGAAGAGGUGGAAAACAUUGCAUGGAAGUAAUCCAGACAAGGCAAGGAGGCAAGGGAGAUGUCCACUUACUCCGGAGGAAGUGGGGCUGAUGUUGAGGGCUUUAGGUUACGGCAAAGAUGUUCAUAUUUAUGUUGCAUCUGGCGAAGUAUAUCGAGCAGAAGAAACAUUAGCUCCACUGAAGACGCUCUUCCCCAAUUUCCAUUCCAAGGAUACAAUUGCAAGUAAACAGGAGCUAGAAUCAUUCUCAAAGUUUUCUUCUCGCAUGGCAGCACUUGACUUUAUCGUUUGUGAUGAAAGUGACGUCUUUGUUACCAACAACAAUGGAAAUAUGGCAAAGAUACUAGCAGGACGAAGGAGGUAUUCUGGUCAUAAACCCACAAUCCGCCCCAAUGCUAAAAAACUAUAUAAGCUCUUCAUGAACAUCGGUAACAUGACUUGGGAAGAGUUUUCAUUGAAGGCCCGUUCUUACCAGAGAGGGUUCAUGGGUUUGCCGCAUGAGGUGAGACCAGGUAGAGGUGAGUUUCAUGAGAAUCCAGCUGCAUGUAUAUGUGAAAUCUCUGAUGCAAAGGCAAUGAGAGAUGCCAGUCUUCGGAAGUACGGGAUGGGUAAGGAUCCAGCCAGGAAAGAAUUGGACACUGAGGAUCAUGAUGCUGAUGACGAUAUGGAAGUGACAGAUCCAGAUACCGAUGGUGAUGUACUUUUCCAUGAGAAACAGCCAGCGAAUGAGACUUUGGGCGAGACCAUGUUAGAUUAUGAUGGAAUUUCGACAGAUGAACCAGAGUUAGAAGAUAUGUUAUCGGAUUAGACCAUUUUGUUUCUUAAAAGGGAUUUCAUCUUUUGUUUUGGGAUAAGCACAGACGGCUGCAUGGUUAACUGAAGUUGUUAGGUCUAGCGUUCACAAUACCUGUACAAAGUUAAGCUGUUAAGAGUGAGCUCGCAACUAAGUGUUCAUCCAAAGAAUAUGCCCUACAGUCUGCAAGUUCCCAACUACAUACGGAAUUGCGAUAUCAUUAUACCAAACUGGAAAAAGUCUCGCUUUGCUGUUCCCUUUCUGAUGGGAUACGGCUACAUUGUUAGGAAAAUCAAUCAAAGGAAAAUUUGCUUUCCCUUUGUCAUGAAGAUGGAGGCAUGUCUGAACCACCAUCAAUGGGUGGUGGAGGAGGAUUUGGAUAAACUCCUGGUGGUCUGUCUCGUGGUUGGAUUGAGAGCAGCUGUGUUGAAUCUCCUACCACAUCUGCCCAUCCGUAAUGAGGUUCAGCCCUAUCACAAGCAAUUGAAUUCGUUAUAAUUGAGAUCACAUAAAACCUCAAAAAAGGCAGGAAAAUAAUAAGAUAUUUACAUGAAAAGUAGAGAAAAAUAAGCGACUACAUGGGCAGGAAUCUAAACUAAUUUUUUUCCCGAUAAUUUUGCUCUUAAAGAUCAAUUCAGAAUAAUCUAGUUGAUAUCAUGAUUUGUAAGAGUGUGCUUAACCCUUUCAAACCUUGCUUAGGUGAAAGCGAUAUAUAAGCGCAUUGAGUAAUGAGAUGUUACACUUCUAUCCACUUAAGAAAGCAUUUAAAAUUUGAAAUGUGAAAAUUAAUUUGUAGUUAGCAAAA